AGUAGCUGGGACAACAGGCCAGCACCACUGUACCUGGCUUUGAUGUAACUUUGUAACUCUGCAAAACUCCUUCCCACAUGUCUUUCCUUGGGUCCUCCCCACACCUUAUGCUGCAGGCAAGACUAGAAUUAUUCAUGUAUCCACAGUUGUGGAAACUGAGGCACAAAGAAAUUAAGCCACUUGCUUGAGAUCACAGUGAAGGAAGAAUUUGGAAGCAAAUUGAAGAUGUAAAACCUGGGCCUCCUGACUUCUAGAUACCACCGUGCAGCAAUUUGGAUCUGAAAGAAAGCACACAGCUUACGCCCGGACAGAGCAGCCGGUAUCUAGCUGUGCCCACUUGCCCCGCCCAGCCCCCACCUGUACACCUGUAUGCCAGCUGGCAGUCAUAUGCACAUUCAUCACAGGGGAGCUGGCUGACUCACACAUUAUACUGGGGCUGACUCAUGCUUUGCAAGAGGGAGAGUGAGAAUCAGUUGAGAGCCACAGGAGCCCCUGCUUUCCACAUCGAGGCUUGAGAUUCAUGCCUCACAAUCCACGGCAGUUUAGUUCUUUAAAAAGGGAAAGCACUGUGAGCUGGCUGGAGCUGGGGAUCUCUGGACUCAGAGAAGAGUGGUUUGGUUCAACUCUGGGCUCUGUUACAAGUUGACUGGGUGACUUCAGGCAAGUCAUUGUCCCUCAGUCUCUUCGGCUUUGUAACAGAGGGGUUGCAACAGAUAAGCGCCAAGACUUUUCAAGCAUCUGAAAGACUGUUGUUGCUCUGGUUUGAGAAACCUCGUCAUCAUAAUGUUGUGUGUGUUGCGAAUUUACUAUGUGCCAGGAACCCUCAAAGGCUGAGUAUCCCACCCAGUUUACAGAUGAAGCAAAGUGAGGCCCAGAGAAGGGAAAUUGCUUGCCCAAGAUCACCCAGCAAGUAAGAAACAGAGCUGGAGAUGAGCUCAGGUCAGCACGGAACCACGCAAACUCCUUCUGCAGGCUUUGUAAAGGAUUGAUGAGAAAAGCAAGUGGUUAAGACCUCUACAACUUCUGUGAGCCCCCGGAUGACUGCAGUGCUGAUGGUCAACACCUGGAUUCCAACCUCACGAGAGACCCAGAACCAGAACCACCCAGCUGAGCUGCUCCUGACUUCCUAUGGAAACUAAGAUAGUCAGUGCUCGUUUUAAACCACUAAGUUUAGGAUAAUUUGUUACACAGCAAUAGAUAACUAACACAUACAUCUUGCACAUGUUUUAUUAAGGUGUAUCACUAAGUAUUUGAUGUGGCUUUUUUGUUUUGUUUUG